GGCCUGCGCGGCCGGCCGGGAGCCCCCGGGCCUCCUGCCUCCUCCGCCGCCGAGGCGCGGGGCCUCUUCCGCGGGGGCGGGGAGGCCCGCCGGCGUCCGAGUCGGAGGAGGAGGAAGCGGAGGCCAGAGUUUCCUCGCCGAGAGAGGCCGUGGUGGGCGGCCGGCGGGGCGCGGCGCGGGUCGGGCGGGCGCGGGCCGGGGGCGCGAGGCGCGGGCAGCGGCCGCCUGUGUGCUCCGGUCGCCGCGCCGCUCGGUGUUGAUUCCUCCCCAGCUGCUGUCCCUAAUGGAGUCCGGCGCGCGCGUCACCGGAAAUGCCUGCACUGCGCUCGCCCACUUCCGGCGGCAGGUGCGGCGCUGUCAGCGUGUGCGGCCGCCCUGUCCUCCCCGCGGGCCUCGGCUUCGCCCGGCCCGGGUUCUGGUAACCUGGCCUGGUCUUACUAGAAACCUGAAUUUCUGAAGCCCACGCGCACACACAUCCCUGUCUGUAUUCAGUCCCACACUGCCUGCCUGUUGUCUGCACUCUGGGUCUUUCUAGAGCCAGGUUUCAGGACCACUUGCACAGUAUUAGGGAGACAGCCUGGAGAUCAUCUGUCUGUCCAUCUAUCCCUGCGGAUCUGAGUGUCCACACCCUGUGCGCCUGGGCCAGUCAGUGUGCAGAUGUGGCUAAGGUGAGACUACUUGAAGGUGUCUGGCCCCAACCUCUCCCCCGGCACAGCUGGAAAGAGGGACUCCUGAAGUCCGGCUGGAAGGAGGCCCCAAGCUGAACUGGACCUCAGGGAGCACAGCUGGCUGGACCCACUUGACCGUGUAGCAAAGCCAGGGAGGAGCAGCGGCCUCACUGCCGUGGACUCCGGACUUUUGGACACUGGUCUCAUGAGGGUCAGGGGGUCAAGUAAAAGUGAGAAGAGCUGUAGCUGUCGGACACUAAUUUCAGAGAACACGGCACAGCUGUGCGGCUUUGCCGCCCUGUAGUUUCGUGUUAUGAAGACAGGGCAUUGUCCUCACCUUGUAAGGGGGCUCCUGCAGCUUUGGGGCCUUGGCAGGGCAGCGGGGACCACAGGGCUGGUGGGUGGUCAGGGGGGUCGGCUUGUAGUUAGUGCUGGCAUUUUCUAGCUAAUUUAAACAUUAACUCAUGUCAUCAGCAGAAUUACCCCCACGAGGGUAGGGUAGAUCUCCUGCCACUUCCUUGAUGAGGGUAGAACAGGCUCAGAGAGGCCUACAGCUUGCCCAGGCUCACACAGCUCGCAGUGACAAGGGCAGGGUCCAGGCCCUGCUUUACACCAGGUAGCCUGUCCUGCGGGCUGGGGGCCCUGCGGGUCUCUGGCCCCAUCGUGGCUGUGCUUGCCCUCAGAGCCCAUGAGGUCAGAAGUGUCGGGGGUGGCAGAGGGCUGCAGCUAAAUUAGCAGUUAAAGUUGAGCAGAGGGGGCACAGGUGAGGGGACUGGAACCUGAUCUUUAGAUCUGAUUUACAGCCCAGGAAACUAAGUCCACUGAUUGUUCAGUGUGAUCACCUUAAAAUUCCCCUGGAGUAAGUAGGAUCCUGCAUUCUGGUCGGCUCCUCCCCAGGCAACAGGCACAGCUAUAUUUAGCGCCAUCCAUCCGGAGCUGCUGUGGUGGCCGGGCAGCGUGUGGCUCCAGGAGUGGCUGCCACGCACCCUGGUGGUGGAGAGGGACUGGCGCUCAGGCUGGGUCCGCUGAGCUCAAGGGGGAAGCAGCCGUGUGCAGAGCACGGACGCUGCUCCGGCCACAGAGGCAGGCAGACUCCUCAUGGAGGCCGGCCGCUCCCCCUGAGAGAAACCAGAACCUGCGGUUUCCCUCCCACAGCUCCAAGCCCUACUGACUCUGCCCUCUUAAUAGCUUCCUGAGGCCUCCUUGGCUUCCUCGCUGCAGUUUGUAUCCCUCACAUUUUUUUCACCUGGAUGAGCAACAGCCUCCUAAAUGCUGUGUUCUGUUCUUUAAUUAGUUCCCUUCGCUGUCACCAAAAAUAGCUCCAUAAGGCAGAAAGCCAUUAUGUCACUCCCCUACCAGACCUGUCUCGGCAGCUGUCACGCUGAGGAGCACUCUGACGUCCAGCCCCAGCUGCUCUUGCCCGGCUGCACCAGGUGCUCCGGGCCGCCUCCUUCUGCACCCUCGCCUGCCCUGUGGGGACCCUGACACCUCCACUCAGGCUACACCUCAGUGCACCAGGCCGAACUCUGAGCCAAGGCCCUGGAGGGAGACAGCACAUCCUCGCUCAGCUCACUGCAGCACUGUGCAGACGCCUGCAGCACGGGUCCUUCACCCGUCCAUUCUGUCAGAAUUUUUCAAGCAUCUGCCAUAUGUGAGAAGAUGCUGGGGAGUGUUCUGGGAAUGUGUGGUGAACAAGACACGAAGCCCUGACUUCCGUGGCACUUCCAUUCUUACAAGCCCAUCCAGAUUUUAUGUUUUAGAGGAGUUUUAAGUUUACAGCGGAAUGGAGUGGAAACUACAAAGUGAUCCUGUGAAGGCCGCCGCCUCCCGCAAGUCCCAGGGCCCUCAUCACCAACGUCCGCACCAGAGCAGCCCGAUUGUCAUCGCCGUGGACCUGCACGGACACAUGGGGGCCACAGGCGGCCUCGAGGUGCGCAGUGAUCCACUCGCUCUACGGCUUUGGAUGAUCACCCAGCACGAUAGCAUCGAACUGCCGUAAAGAUCCUCCUGUCGUGCUUAGCCUGAGACAAAGUGGCUGUGUGGCUGGGCAUCGCCACCAACGCUGAAGCUGUGCAGCUCCCGCACACCCUGCAAACACUGGAGACGUACCAAGAAUCGAACUCAGGACCUUGAGCUUGCAAGGCAGGUGCAGUGCCAC
ensembl:lncRNA